UCUCUCACUCUUCUCCCUUUCACUGUUAUUAGAUUCUCAUCUUACUUGAGCAUCGGCAAGAGGAUCCCUUUGCAGGUCCAACCUUCAACUCAGGAGCCUCGGCAGCCACUCUAACCUAAACUUAGUUCGGCCCAUGAUUCAGUCUGACCUUGAGAAUCUAUAGCAAUAGUGAAUAUCCUUAAAAAAAAUUUGUUGAGGGUGAAGACUCAAGCUAGAAUCAUUUCCUUUGAAC
rnacentral:lncRNA from 1 species